rnacentral:rRNA from 1 species
CCUACGGGGGGCAGCAGUGGGGAAUAUUGCACAAUGGGCGCAAGCCUGAUGCAGCGACGCCGCGUGAGCGAUGAAGGCCCUCGGGUCGUAAAGCUCUGUCCUAAGGGAAGAAUAAUGACGAUACCUUAGGAGGAAGCCCCGGCUAACAACGUGCCAGCAGCCGCGGUAGUACGUAGGGGGCGAGCGUUAGCCGGAAUCACUGGGCGGAAAGGGUGCGUAGGCGGCCAUGCAAGUCAGGGGUUAAAGCCCGCGGCUCAACCGAGGUCAGCUCUUGAUACUGGAUGGCUUGAGUGUAGAAGAGGAAAGCGGAAUUCCUAGUGUAGCGGUGAAAUGCGUAGAUAUUAGGAAGAACACCAGUGGCGAAGGCGGCUUUCUGGACUAUAACUGACGCUGAGGCACGAAAGCGUGGGGAGCGAACAGGAUUAGAUACCCGGGUAGUC